UCGGCCUGCACCGAACAAGGAAGUGACCAGUAAACAAACACUUUCUCGAAGCUUCCCGUGCCCUCCCGCCCGCGCGCGCGUAAAAAAACACAGUAGCGCGCAAAAUCACUAUUAUAACGAACCCAUCUCCUUCGAUCCGGUAAAAUUCGGGCGGGAAUUCGAAUUUCAUCUGUCGCGUGCGUGUGCACGAGCGCGCAGCGGGCUACGUUCCAGGUUGCCUCGCCACGAACAGCCUCCUCUCUCUCUCUCUCGCUGUAUUUGGGCAUCGCGCCGACGUCACCAUCUAUAUACGUCUUCGGCGCAGCGACGCGGCUGCGUAUAUGCAGACGCCUCCUCGAUAGCAGUUCUCCUAUAUAGUUACCAGACGACUCGUGACCGUGAACGUAGACGCCGCUCCACGGCACACGCUCUGUCUUCCUCACGCACCGUACACCCUCCGUCCGAUCUCCUCACACACCGACGAUGGCUGCCGAU